rnacentral:lncRNA from 1 species
CUAUGACAACUUUAGAGGAGGCAUAUGAAUUAUUUCUGAGAUGCCCUUGUCAAGAAGAGAGAAUGUGGGCAGAGUAAGUGCUCA